GCCCGGGUGGCGGAAUGGGCAGACGCGCUGGACUUAAAAUCCAGUGUCCCUCGUGACGUGUGGGUUCAAGUCCCACCCCGGGCA
rnacentral:tRNA from 1 species